AAACCGGAGGAAGGUGGGGAUGACGUCAAAUCAUCAUGCCCCUUAUGACCUGGGCUACACACGUGCUACAAUGGACAGAACAAAGGGCUGCGAGACCGCAAGGUUUAGCCAAUCCCAUAAAUCUGUUCUCAGUUCGGAUCGCAGUCUGCAACUCGACUGCGUGAAGCUGGAAUCGCUAGUAAUCGCGGAUCAGCAUGCCGCGGUGAAUACGUUCCCGGGCCUUGUACACACCGCCCGUCACACCACGAGAGUUUGUAACACCCGAAGUCGGUGAGGUAACCUUUAUGGAGCCAGCCGCCGAAGGUGGGACAGAUGAUUGGGGUGAAGUCGUAACAAGGUAGCCGUAUCGGAAGGUGCGGCUGGAUCACCUCCUUUCUAAGGA
rnacentral:rRNA from 1 species